CAGCCGCCGCGGAGCCGUCCCCGACGCCACCUCCUUCUCCUCCGCCGCAGUUUCCUCCGCUGCUGUCGGGGUGCGGAGUUGAGGGGCCCGCGCGAGCGCGCCGCGCAUCUCUCCACAGGCUCGCCUCCCGCGCUCCAUUCCGCCCCGAAGGGUCGGCCGGGCGCCCCCUCCUCCGGCCCGGGCGGUGCCGCGAGACACUCGGCAAAGCGGGGAGGGGGCUCGGGGCCGCGGCCUGCACCCCCUGCGUGCGGCUGAGGGCCAAGGAGGCCCUUCCUUCUGACUAGGAGAGGGAGCGUCGGGAGCCCCCCACUCGCCCGGCGAGGUCCGGGGCGGGUGCCGGAGAGGGCCCCCCGCGAGAGGGGCGGUUGUCUGGGGGAGGGGGCUCGGGGUGAUUCAGCGCCCGGCGAGGCGGAAGCGGCCCGAGGAGGAGGAGGAGGGGAGAGGCAGUCCGCUCCUGGGCGCUCUGGGUGGCACGAGCCCGCGGCCCGAGUGCGAGGCGGAGGCGAGGAGGCCGCGGGGACAGGAGGCAAGGCCGGCCGGGCCCCCGCAGCCAUGGAGAACGCGCACACAAAGACGGUGGAGGAGGUGCUGGGUCAUUUCGGCGUCAACGAGAGCACGGGGCUGAGUCUGGAGCAGGUCAAGAAGCUCAAGGAGAGAUGGGGCUCCAACGAGUUGCCGGCCGAAGAAGGAAAAACCUUGCUGGAACUUGUGAUUGAGCAGUUUGAAGACUUACUAGUUAGAAUAUUGUUACUGGCAGCAUGUAUAUCUUUUGUUUUGGCUUGGUUUGAAGAAGGAGAAGAAACAAUUACAGCCUUUGUAGAACCUUUCGUGAUUCUACUUAUAUUAGUAGCCAAUGCAAUUGUGGGUGUAUGGCAGGAAAGAAAUGCUGAGAACGCAAUUGAAGCCCUUAAGGAAUAUGAGCCUGAAAUGGGCAAAGUGUAUCGACAGGACAGAAAGAGUGUGCAGAGGAUUAAAGCUAAAGACAUAGUUCCUGGUGAUAUCGUAGAAAUUGCUGUUGGUGACAAAGUUCCUGCUGAUAUAAGAUUGACUUCCAUCAAAUCGACAACUUUGAGAGUUGACCAGUCGAUUCUCACUGGUGAGUCUGUUUCAGUUAUUAAGCACACCGACCCUGUCCCUGACCCACGGGCUGUCAACCAAGAUAAAAAGAAUAUGCUGUUUUCUGGUACAAACAUUGCUGCUGGGAAAGCCAUGGGAGUGGUGGUGGCAACUGGAGUCAACACUGAAAUCGGCAAAAUCCGGGAUGAAAUGGUUGCAACAGAACAGGAGAGAACACCCCUUCAGCAGAAACUGGAUGAGUUUGGGGAACAGCUUUCCAAAGUCAUUUCCCUUAUUUGCAUUGCAGUCUGGAUCAUAAAUAUUGGGCACUUUAAUGACCCAGUUCACGGUGGCUCCUGGAUCAGAGGUGCUAUCUACUACUUUAAGAUUGCAGUGGCCCUGGCUGUUGCAGCCAUCCCUGAAGGUCUGCCUGCUGUCAUCACCACCUGCCUGGCUCUUGGAACUCGCAGAAUGGCAAAGAAGAAUGCCAUUGUCCGAAGCCUCCCUUCUGUGGAAACUCUUGGUUGUACUUCUGUUAUCUGCUCAGACAAGACUGGCACACUUACAACAAACCAGAUGUCAGUCUGCAGGAUGUUCAUUCUGGACAGAGUUGAAGGUGAUAGUUGUUCGCUCAAUGAGUUUACCAUAACCGGAUCAACAUAUGCACCCAUUGGAGAAGUGCAUAAAGAUGAUAAACCAGUGAAAUGUCAUCAAUAUGAUGGCCUUGUAGAAUUAGCAACAAUUUGUGCUCUUUGUAAUGACUCUGCUUUGGAUUAUAAUGAGGCAAAAGGUGUGUACGAAAAAGUUGGAGAAGCUACGGAGACUGCUCUCACUUGCCUGGUAGAGAAGAUGAAUGUAUUUGAUACUGAAUUGAAGGGUCUUUCUAAAAUAGAACGUGCAAAUGCCUGCAACUCGGUCAUUAAACAGCUGAUGAAAAAGGAAUUCACUCUCGAGUUUUCACGCGAUAGAAAAUCAAUGUCGGUCUAUUGUACACCAAACAAACCAAGCCGGACAUCCAUGAGCAAGAUGUUUGUGAAGGGUGCUCCUGAAGGUGUCAUUGACAGGUGCACCCACAUUCGAGUUGGGAGUACGAAGGUUCCCAUGACCCCUGGAGUCAAACAGAAGAUCAUGUCUGUCAUUCGGGAGUGGGGAAGUGGCAGCGACACUCUGCGGUGCCUGGCCCUGGCCACUCAUGACAACCCUCUGCGAAGAGAAGAGAUGCACUUGGAGGACUCUGCCAACUUCAUUAAGUAUGAGACCAAUCUGACCUUCGUGGGCUGCGUGGGCAUGCUAGAUCCCCCCAGAAUUGAAGUGGCCUCCUCUGUGAAGCUGUGCCGGCAAGCAGGAAUCCGUGUUAUCAUGAUCACAGGGGACAACAAGGGCACUGCUGUGGCCAUUUGUCGCCGCAUCGGCAUCUUUGGCCAGGAUGAGGAUGUGACGGCAAAGGCUUUUACAGGCCGGGAGUUUGAUGAACUCAGCCCCCCAGCCCAAAGAGACGCCUGCUUGAACGCCCGCUGCUUUGCUAGAGUGGAGCCUUCCCACAAGUCCAAGAUUGUGGAGUUUCUUCAGUCCUUCGAUGAAAUUACAGCCAUGACUGGUGAUGGUGUGAAUGAUGCUCCUGCUCUAAAGAAAGCUGAGAUUGGCAUUGCCAUGGGCUCCGGCACUGCAGUGGCUAAAACUGCCUCUGAAAUGGUCCUGGCGGAUGACAACUUCUCUACCAUCGUCGCUGCUGUGGAAGAGGGACGGGCCAUCUACAACAACAUGAAGCAGUUCAUUCGCUACCUCAUCUCCUCGAAUGUAGGGGAAGUUGUCUGUAUUUUCCUGACAGCAGCCCUUGGGUUUCCUGAGGCUUUAAUUCCUGUCCAACUGCUCUGGGUCAACCUGGUGACCGAUGGCUUGCCUGCCACUGCACUAGGGUUCAACCCUCCUGACCUGGACAUCAUGAAUAAACCACCCCGGAACCCAAAGGAGCCACUUAUCAGUGGGUGGCUGUUUUUCCGUUACCUGGCUAUUGGCUGUUACGUCGGCGCUGCUACCGUGGGUGCUGCUGCCUGGUGGUUCAUCGCUGCUGAUGGUGGUCCAAGAGUGUCCUUCUACCAGCUGAGUCAUUUCCUCCAGUGUAAGGAGGACAACCCAGACUUUGAAGGAGUGGAUUGUGCAAUCUUUGAGUCCCCGUACCCAAUGACAAUGGCGCUGUCUGUUCUAGUAACCAUAGAGAUGUGUAAUGCUCUCAACAGUUUGUCUGAAAACCAGUCCUUGCUGAGGAUGCCCCCUUGGGAGAACAUCUGGCUUGUGGGCUCCAUCUGCCUGUCUAUGUCACUCCACUUCCUGAUCCUCUAUGUGGAACCCCUGCCACUUAUCUUCCAGAUCACACCGCUGAAUCUCACCCAGUGGCUGAUGGUGCUGAAAAUCUCCUUGCCUGUGAUUCUCAUGGAUGAGACACUCAAGUUUGUGGCCCGUAACUACCUGGAACCUGGUAAAGAGUGUGUGCAACCUACCACCAAAUCCUGCUCGUUCUCGGCAUGCACCGAUGGGAUUUCCUGGCCGUUCGUGCUGCUCAUAAUGCCCCUGGUGGUCUGGGUCUAUAGCACAGACACUAACUUUAGUGAUAUGUUCUGGUCUUGACUGACAGCUCUACAUACAGAAGAUGUUUAACUUAAUCAAUUUUUUAUUGUUUAAAGCAACUGUCUGUUUCUGCUGAAUUUUCACAUGAACAUAUUGGCUGGUGAAGGAGGUUUCAUACUCUAGAUUUUUGUUUUGCUUUUUCUGACUCCAGUGGGGCAAGAUUUUCCUUUUUUUAUACACAUAAUUAAAGUGUCCAUUGACAUGUACAGAGAACUAACACUAUUUUAUGCAAAUAUUUUUUUGUAGAUGAAAAAGCAUGUACAGUGUUCUGUUUAAUACUCAUCCUUGUAUAAAAAUAGUUGAGCCAGCAGACAUUGUCAGCAAAUUAAUUGGCAGCAGACUUUAGGAAACGAAUGUGUGUUUUUAAAAAAAAAAAAAAAAAAACCAACUAAAUAGCAUGUGUUGUGUUUUUUGCAUGAUUACCUGGAUUUAAUUUGAUAUCAGUCUAAUUUUUAUUCAUAAGCCAAUUUUUCUGCACUGAGCAGAGUCCUGCUACCUCAGUCAGUAUUUUUUGGUUUGCCACUUCCCGCACCUUCUCCAUUCACCCCCACCCUGCCCCAUCCCCCGCCCCGCUCGGCUUCUUCUGUAGGGUCUUGAUGGUUCUGUUUACAUCAGUCUUCAUGAGAGGUAUGCCUGUCUCGCUUGUGCAGAAAACAUUGUUCCAGAUUCAAUCAACUGGGUUUAUGUCCCUUCACAUAGUUUUUAAAGUUAUUUAUUUAAAUGUCUAAUGUAUUUUAUUGUAACGGACAUUGUUUUGCCAACAUUGCCUAGAUCUCAAUGGCACUUCACAAUCUAGUUCAAAAGAGAAAAAUAAAACAUUUUAAAUGGACAGAAAAUAACUGUCUUGUUCUUAACUCUUUAAGUUGUUCCCCUCGAACUAUCUGAUAGUCUACCUUCCUCUGAAGUUCUUAGCACAGAACCUCGGUUUGGCAUGCUUGAGGGAAAGUGGGGUCCUGUUCUGCUGCAUAGGUAGUUGGGGAAUUUAUUUUUUGAUGUAUAGGCACAAGUUGUCAUCUAAUAUACAUUUUAUGCAAGUCUCUGCUGGCCUCAUUUAAGGAACAUAGGGCAAGCGUGUGUGUGUGUGCGCGCGCGUGUGUGUGUGUGUGUUUUGUAAAAUCUGUAAAUAGCACAUGACCAAAUGAACAUAUUGUAUAGAACUAUUUUUAUUUGAAUGUGGCACUAAUCACCACCAUUACUCUGACCAAUGUUUGAGCAUGUUCGAGAUCAGUCUGACCAACAGUGUAUGAGUCAUUAACAGUCCUAACUGUGAUGUUUUCCUCCAAUGCCUUCCAACAUCCAUCAACUAACCAAUACUGGAGUAACCGCUUCCUAAACCAUUUUGCAGAAAUGUAAGGGUGUUCGGUUGCGUGCAUGUGCGUCUUUAGCAACACAUCUACCAGCCCUCUGCAUGAUUGAUGUUGGGGAAAAAGAAAAGUAGAAAAAGUUCCCAACUCGUGUGUGAUGUGGAGGAAAUGUGUAUUACCAGUGGGGUUUUUAGCUUUUAAAUCAAAAUAAUGUAAAUGUACAAUUUAGCCUAAUCAGAAAGCCUCUUCAGAGAAGUUUGGUUUCUUUGCUGCAAGAACAGUGAGGUUCUGAAAACCUUAUCUAACAACUUAGAAGCAAUCAGCCAAGUCUCCACAUUUCUCUGUGCAAAAUGUCAUAGCUUAUAUAAAUGUACAAUAUUAAAUUAUGAUGCAUGCCUUCAGUUGUAAGUAGCCAGAUUUCUCUACAGUGACCUUGAAAAUGCUACUUUUUAAUUGGCCCUGUACAGUUUGCUUAUUUAUAAAUUCAUUAAAAACACUACAGGUAUUGAAUGGUUAAAAUGUAGGCCUCCAGUUCAUAACUUCAGUUAUUUUUGAGUGUGCAGAAAGUUGUUUCACACUGUAUUAAAUGUAACUUAUUUAAUGAAAUCAGAAGCAGUAGACAGAUGUUGGUGCAAUACAAAUAUUGUGAUGCAUUUACCUUAAUAAAAUGCUAAGCGUCAGUUUAUCCCAACGCAUGUUUGACUAGACUGUAAAUAGAGAUCAGUUUGCUUCACUCUGUGCUAUAACAACAAGCGUUGCACAGACAUGGUUUCAGGUAAAUAAAUCUAUUCUACAUUAAA